UCAUUCGCACAUGCUUGUGAGGGUCGCUCCCUACAAGCCGACACUCCGGAGUUAGCCAUCGCAAUACAUAUUUGCCGUGCGGGAUUGGGCGCCGAAGUGGAUUGCCGUGGGAAAGGCUAGGCACGGCACCGGCCAGACAACCUACGGGUGGCUCUUACAGGCCAGACAGCCUUCGGGUGGGUCUUCAUGCCAGACAGCCUUCGGGUGGGUUUUAUAAGAUUAAACUUUUAACAGUUAAAGUGACAAGUGGACAUUGACUAGAAUAGUAAAUGAUGACAUCUUUACUAUUUGCAUCGAGAACAUCGUGUUGGUUGCAUACUCAUGCUUAUACAUGUUAGUCACACUCAUGUACUUACUUGUUGUAGUUGCUUUAUUACUUAUGCAAUUCAUGCUAAGUAGAGAUAUCAUGGUAGAAUAGUUGUCACGCCCCGUGUAAGGAAGUGAAUUCUCGAAACUCGAGGAUUAGACUUCGGCCAGAAUCGACUAGUUAUCGAGUGCGUAGGCUUCGGAAAGUCCGAAGGUGUUUAUAAUGCAUAAAGUGCAUUAAGGAAGGGUCCGCGGGAGCACCAGUGCAAAAUCUGCACUGGAGCAGAAAUGCUCUCGGGGACCGGUCCCUGGCAGGGAGGGACCGGUUCCAUCAGGCUGGGCUGCGGGGGGGUCUCUGAUGAGACCGGUCCCUGGUGGUGAGGGACCGGUUCCC
rnacentral:lncRNA from 1 species